UACAGAGGUCUCAAGCGUUGUUCGGAUUCAUUGGGCGUAAAGGGCGCGUAGGCGGCCUCUGCAAGUCGACUGUGAAAUCUCCGGGCUUAACCCGGAAAGGUCAGCCGAUACUGCAGGGCUAGAGUGCAGAAGGGGCAACUGGAAUUCUCGGUGUAGCGGUGAAAUGCGUAGAUAUCGAGAGGAACACCUGCGGCGAAGGCGGGUUGCUUGGGCUGACACUGACGCUGAAGUGCGAAAGCUAGGGGAGCGAACGGG
rnacentral:rRNA from 1 species